AGCCAGACCCACUCAUGCUCACCGAGUGCCUGUUCUGGCUGGGACUGGCACUGACUCUCACUGAGGGGGGCUGGCUGGUCUUCAGAGCCCGAGCUCCAGCCCACACUGCAACAUCCACUCUGCUACUGUCAGCACGCUCGCUGGAGUCUGGCUGGCACAUGCCUGCCACCCUGGGCUGGGAGCAAGCAACUGGAGCCAGCGACCGGACAGUCAGCACCCAAAGGGGAAAGGGGGCAGCAGGCAUUUGAGAGUUCAUGCCUCCCAGAAUGGCAUUAGCCUUUAGCCACAGCAUCACACUGGGAGCUCGUGUUCAGCUGAUUAUCCACCAGGACCCGCAAAUCCCCACCCAGAGUCUGGGCAAGCAAAGGAGAAGCUGGCUGCAGGAUGUUUGGAUCACAAGAAACCUCCAAUCAACAUCCUCAGGUGAGCAGAGACAAGGGCUGUCUUGGAGGUGGCAGUUUGCUGUGAGAGAAGGGCCAAGACACACAACAGGAUCCUUACCAUGGCACCUCCAGCCCUUUCAGUUAAGAGCAGAGAAAGUUCCCAACUAUAGCACUGUGUCAUCCAAGGAGUUCUCCAGCAAAAACAGGAAGAUUGAUGUUCCUGACAACAACAAAUAUCAAACCCUUCCAGACCGCCACUGUAUACCAUAAAGAAGCAAACUAAAAGGGCACAAACACAGGUCAUCUUGAUGGGAGAAUCUUGUGGCUAUGAGUUAAACUGAAGUCUGGUCAAAAUGAGAAACAGCCUUUCAUGGUUAAUGAAGGCUGUGGUUUGUUCAAUAGGCUCUAAGUGAAAUAAUAUAUUAAGUGGUGAAAUCCAAGAAUAAUCUACCUCCACUGAAGCCAGAUGAGCAAAACCCAACACAGUUUCAUCUACCACAAUGUAGCAAUAAUAAAUAUUUGAUAAUGCACAUCAUACAGAGCUGAUCAAAGGUUUGCAUCUGCCUCUACUGCCAUUCAAUGAUAAUACAGGCUGCUUAUUUGUCAUUGCCAAAAUAUGUAUUUUAAGAAGGUGUUGGGGAGCUGAAUUCACCAGGUCCAGGUGCUACUGAGGUCCUUGAAUGGAAAGUGCAGAGGAUUAUUACAGACCAUUCCACUGAUUACAAUGGGGUUGGGAUUAGAGACAAUAUAGGGAUAAAAGGCCAAUCCUGCAAGGUGCUCAGGUGAAAUCAACCUGUUGAUUUCAGUGGGAAAUCAGGGGCACUCUCCACCUGGAAAGAGGAGCAUGGCAGGAGGCCGUUCGUUGUAAUCAGUGGGCUUAACAUCAGCCCAAUCAUCACAUGGCUCUUUUGCAUACUGAAAUUCCAUUGGCUGCAAUGCUUUUACAGUAACUAUAUUAUAUAGUCUUCUGAUGCUAUCCUAGCAGUGCAAUGUCUAAAGUGUUCCAAAGAUGGAUUUUUUCUAUUAAAUAUAUUAUAAUGUUUCCCCUAGAGUAUAAUCCCCUAGAUAUAAUUAUUAUCUAUUACCCAUAUGGUGGAAAGAACAGAAACAAACAGACCAGUCAUUCCCAACCGGUGAUCUGCAGAGCACUUACUGGUGGCUUGUGGAAAGUUGGUUCGUCCCAUGGUGCUUUUCCCUGUUUCCAGCUGCUACACUGCACUAAGAGAACAACCACCACCCCACAUGUUAAUUUUUUAUGCAGGCAAUUACCAUGGUGGUGUUAUGCGAUCCUGAAUGGGAGGGCAGAGGGAACUGGGUGAAUGGGAGGGAAAGUACUCACUAGACAAUCUCUGUAAGAAGGUAUGGCCUGAUCUAUGAAAAGUUUUGAGAGCUUCCCAAAGUAGACAACACUAUCUGCCAGGGAAUAAUCAGAGCCCCACUAUAUACAGCCCAUCAUGAAAAUGAAGAUUCGCACCACACCAGAGAAUUGAUAAGCGGAGGAACUGAGGAUAUCAUCUAUAGACUAAUCUACCUGUUACUAUUUGGAGGUGUGUACACACACCUCCCCCACCUCAGACCAAUCUGAAUAGAUCUGCUGUUUCCUUGGCCUUUAAGUGAAACUUCUCCCCCCACUCUUAGUUCUGUUUCAUUGGCAGCUACAGAAUAAAAGUCAGAUCUGAUGGCUAUGU